rfam:Perkinsus marinus ATCC 50983 gcontig_1104296291374, whole genome shotgun sequence.
GCCUCGGUAGCUCAGUCUGCAGAGCGCGUGCCUUUUAAGCCCGCGGCCGCGGGUUCGAACCCCGCCCGAGUGCG